CAACAAGUGAGAAGGGUUGUUAACCUGUCUUUAUUUCUACCCUAAACUGCAUCUUCGUUCUUCCCAACUGUGCAAACGUGGAUCAGGCACUCAUCACGCCAAAUAUCGGGUGAAAUCGCGACUGGCCUCAAAUUUUCAUGUUCUGGUUAGGAAGAGAGGAGAUAUUGAUUUGAUGGCUAGUGUUUUCAAUGCCUGAUCUUGGAAUUUGAUUGAAAGGUUUCGUUGUUGGCUAUCCUUUCAAUAGACAGCGGCGGAACACUCCUGAU